rnacentral:tRNA from 1 species
GGCGACGUGGCGGAGUGGUUACGCAGCGGCCUGCAAAGCCGUUUACACCGGUUCGAUUCCGGUCGUCGCCUUCA